CCAAUACUUUGGUUUAUUCUUUGUAUGACUUGAAAAUCAGGCUUUAGGGAAAACCAAAUGACAUGUUUCUAUCAUCAAUUACAUGAAGUAAACACACAAGCACUUGCAUACACAUUUAAGACAUGAGACUCGCUAAUUCCAUCUCUUAAAAUGUGUCUAUAGGUGAGACGCUUUGCGUUGAUUGGUGCUGCUGGACCACACUGGAGGUGCGAGUCCGCCGUGUAAUGGUUUAUGCCAUUACAAAGGAGCUGGCGUCUGUACUCAACUGGGCAGGGGAAAAAAUACCAAGGACCAGACAAAGCAAAAAAGGGCAUUUAAAGAGACAGCGCCGUGCAGAUGCAUAUUUGAUGGCCUGGCGCAGCAGGUAGGGGCGAACUCUAUGUCUGAGUUGGUCUUUGCUCAAGCAGUCCAGAAAUGGCUCAGAUAUGCUCCAGAUCGUACGGGUGGCGCGCAGGAAGCACAUCAUCCAUCCCCAUCCCGGAGUAAAUAAUAAAAAGUGACGUGAAACAUAGAAAUGUAAAUAGGAAACUUUGUCUUUUAAUAAAGUAUUUUGCAAAUGA